CCUACGGGAGGCAGCAGUGGGGAAUAUUGGGCAAUGGAGGAAACUCUGACCCAGCAACGUCGCGUGAAUGAUGAAGGUCUUCGGAUUGUUAAGUUCUUUUCUAAGGGAAGCAGAGAGUGACGGUACCUUAGGAAUAAGCAUCGGCUAACUACGUGCCAGCAGCCGCGGUAAUACGUAGGAGGCGAGGGUUAUCCGGAAUGACUGGGCGGUAAGGGGGCGUAGGGGGUUUGGCAAGGUAGUCGCGAAAAUGCAAGGGUCAAACUUGGAACUGCUGCUAAAACUGUUGGUCUUGAGUGGAGGAGAGGCAAGCGGAAUUCGUGGUGUAGCGGUGGAAUGCGUAGAUAUUAGGCAGAACUCC
rnacentral:rRNA from 1 species